UGCAACAUCGUCAGUGGCCCCGUUACUAAUGUCUAAUCUAUGAAUUUCAGAUACUUUCGACGUAUUCAUUGCGGUGAACAACGCGGUUGGGACAGCACACUCACGACGUGGGAAGGUCACAGAAAUGUUGAAAGACAUCAGAUUGGGCAUACGCUUCACCCGUGCAACUUCGUCAUGUGCUCCACGGCAGCACAAGCCUUUACGGCUGUGCCACUAUGUGUGGAAACGUCGUAGCGGAUGAAUG